CAAUAGCGUAUAUUAAAGUUGUUGCGGUAAAAAAGCUCGUGGUUGGAUUUCUACCGAAGAUAGCCGGUCGGGUCUUCGACCUUGUAUCUGGUUUUGUCUUUGGUAUCCUCAUAGGGAACGUUUCUGCGCUUUAUUGCGUGGUGCGGUAUCUAUGACUUUUACUUUGAGGAAAUUAGAGUGUUCACGGCAGGCAAACGCCUUGAAUAUAUUAGCAUGGAAUAAUAACAUAGGAUCUUCGUCCUAUUUUGUUGGUUUCUAGGGCUAAGAUAAUGAUUAAUAGGGAUAAUUGGGGGCAUCUGUAUCAACGCGUCAGAGGUGGAAUUCUUGGAUUGCGUUGCGACAAACUACUGCGAAAGCAUUUGCCAAGGAUGUUUUCAUUGA
rnacentral:rRNA from 1 species